rnacentral:rRNA from 1 species
UACGAAGGGGGCUAGCGUUGUUCGGAAUCACUGGGCGUAAAGCGCACGCAGGCGGAUCGUUAAGUCAGGGGUGAAAUGCCGAGGCUCAACCUCGGAACUGCCUUUGAUACUGGCGAUCUUAGAGUCCGGGAGAGGUGAGUGGAACUCCGAGUGUAGAGGUGAAAUUCGUAGAUAUUCGCAAGAACACCAGUGGCGAAGGCGGCUCACUGGUCCGGUACUGACGCUGAGGUGCGAAAGCGUGGGGAGCAAACAGG